rnacentral:rRNA from 1 species
UACGUAGGGAGCAAGCGUUGUCCGGAUUUAUUGGGCGUAAAGAGCUCGUAGGCGGCUUAGAAAGUCAGGUGUGAAACCUCCAGGCUCAACCUGGAGACGCCACUUGAUACUUCUAUGGCUUGAGUUCGGUAGGGGUAAGCGGAAUUCCUGGUGUAGCGGUGAAAUGCGCAGAUAUCAGGAGGAACACCGAUGGCGAAGGCGGCACUCUGGGCCGGUACUGACGCUGAGGAGCGAAAGCGUGGGGAGCAAACAGG